rnacentral:rRNA from 1 species
CAGCAGCCGCGGGAAUACGUAGGGUGCGAGCGUUAAUCGGAAUUACUGGGCGUAAAGCGUGCGCAGGCGGUUUUGUAAGACAGGCGUGAAAUCCCCGGGCUCAACCUGGGAAUGGCGCUUGUGACUGCAAAGCUAGAGUGCGGCAGAGGGGGAUGGAAUUCCGCGCGUAGCAGUGAAAUGCGUAGAUAUGCGGAGGAACACCGAUGGCGAAGGCAAUCCCCUGGGCCUGCACUGACGCUCAUGCACGAAAGCGUGGGGAGCAAACAGGAUUAGAUACCCCAGUAGUCCCUGUCUCUUAUAC